rnacentral:rRNA from 1 species
UACAGAGGUCUCAAGCGUUGUUCGGAUUCAUUGGGCGUAAAGGGUGCGUAGGUGGCGCCGUAAGUCGGGUGUGAAAUUUCGGAGCUUAACUCCGAAACUGCAUUCGAUACUGCGGUGCUUGAGGACUGGAGAGGAGACUGGAAUUCAUGGUGUAGCAGUGAAAUGCGUAGAGAUCAUGAGGAAGACCAGUGGCGAAGGCGGGUCUCUGGACAAGUUCCGUGACACUGAGGCACGAAGGCCAGGGGAGCAAAACGGGG